rnacentral:lncRNA from 1 species
CCUCAUACAUGCAAGGCAAGUGCUCUCCACUGAGCCACAACCCCAGCCUCUAGAUACUGAUUUUUUAAUAACUAUUCCAAUAUCUUUUGCACCUGUUGACAUCGUAUGAUUUCUUUUAUCCAGCAUUUUGAUGUGGGCUUUUAUAGAAUAACAGUAGAUCUCCAUAUAUUCUUCAAUUCUAGUAUGAAUGUUACUUGGUGGUAGUUAGCAUAGAGAUUAACAUGAGUAACACAUGUCAUUGCUAAUGAGGCUUCAAUAAAUGUUAGUAUUUCUAUUAUCAUUAUUAUUUUUAUUCUUAUGUACUGCUAAUUUUUUAUUUAAGAGGUUAGGAGCUCAUCAUCUAAGGAAAGCUUGCACAGUCCCCCCCCCCUCCCCAAGCCUAAAGAUGCCCUGAGGGCAAAGAUUCAGAGGAGAGAAGCUUUCAUGAGCAUCUGAGGAAGGCAGAGGGUCCACCCAAUCCAGGUCCUGCUCCCUGGCAUCUGUUCACCUAGAACCAGCACCCCCACCCCAAAAAUAUAGUGGCCUGAUGUUCUGCUCCAGGAGACUCCAAGCAAGGUUCUUUUGGUAAUUACCAUACAAUUCAAGUCUGAGGACAGAAGCUGUCCUCUGUGGGAUCGAUGGACAUUGCCAGAAAUUUUUUAAAAGAGAAGUCAAGUUUUUGGUAUUUGCUAAUUGCCACUUCCUCUGCUAUGAUCCUUGUUAAGGUCUGUAAACAAAUCUGGACGACGCCUGGCAUUUUGCCAGAGGGAGUGGUUUGUGAAGUAACGCCAGCGAGCCAUUAAGUGUGGAGAUUCCUUAUUGGUUGACUGCUGUAUCGAGUUUAUGUUAAUUAGAUAAGCUGUGUGGAAUGUAUAAAUACCUCUGUUGUCCUACAACAAACGGCUCCCACUCCUGCUGUAUUGAUCUACACAAGUUGCUCGUCAGCCCCAGGUUAUUUUGCUGCAGCCGGACUGUGGCAGAUCCUAAGGUUAGGAAAUAUUUUCAGAUCUGCUUAAAUACAGGGCAAUAUUAUGGCUAACCUGGGGCUUUAAGAUUUGCUGUUCUAUUAACAGUUCAAGUCUCAGCUUCUGUGUCUGAAAGACAUCCUUC